CCAGUUCAGAAGUAAGGUAUCUUAAAUUGCACUCGACAAUGUUGUGAAUACUUUAAAAUGCUUGAAGCCAUACUUGAUGCCUUCCAUAACGUGUAAAGUAAGAAGUUAGCCUGUGUUAAAAAGUGGUGAUCCCUGCAGAUUACCAAGGCAUUCAGUCUCCCAGCAAGUGCCAAGAGGCAUUCAUUCAAUGCUCCGCUGACACCAAUUUGCCCAAAGAAUAUUUAUGUGGGAGACUCCUCAGAUUGUGGAGACCCCAGAUUGUGGAGGCUCCUGGGCAGCUGGUCUUUUUGUGGACUCCUAAAUCUGGCACUGAACAAAAUUCUCUCUCUCUCUCUCUCUCUCUCUCUCUCUCUCUCUCUCUCUCUCUCUCUCUCUCUCUCUCUCUCUCUCUCUCUCUCUCUCUCUCUCUCUCUGUCUCUCUCUCUCUCUCUCUCUCUCUCUCUCUCUCUCUCUCUCUCUCUCUCUCUCUCUCUCUCUCUCUCUCUCUCUCUCUCUCUCUCUCUCUCUCUCUCUCUCUCUCUCUCUCUCUCUCUCUCUCUCUCUCUCUCUCUCUCUCUCCUCAACUCUCAACCACUGGAUGGUAUAUCAGUUCACACAGCAAGAAGCCAAGGACCCACCGAGGCUGUCACUUGGAAGAGGUCAUUGUUGUUGCAUCCAGCAUCCCAGCCUGACUGCCUAGACAGGUCCCGCAGGUUGCUGAAUGGCAGAGGUGCAGGCUGCUCCACAGCAAGAUGUGAGACCAGUGUGGCAGAGUAUGAUGUGUACACAAUGAGGGACACACUGUAGCCAACCCAGUAGAUUACCCGUGCUGCAGUGCUGAUUGGGUCCUCACCUUGUUGUAGGAGAGCUGACAACAUGUACCAGCCAGCAGCAACUCCCAUGCUAACAGGCUUCUCCCCCGUGGGUAUGUAGCACCUCUGGAGUCGCUCGAUGAAGAAGAGGAUGCUGGCGAGGCCUGUCGUGUUAGCCGGGAUGCGCCGGUACAGAGCUGUGUCCGUUGGGGUUGUGUAGGCAAGCAUCUUCUUGGCAAGGUCCUCGUAGGUGGCCGCAAACAGUUUACGGCUGUGGGAUGAGAACUUGUCUUGUGAAUGUGACGUUGGGGUGAGUGUUAAUCUGAUUUUGUGUUACUAUGUUCUGUGGGGAGUGGGUGUUAAUGUGAUUUUUUGUUAACUGAAUGCUGUGUCUGACCUCCUGAGGUGUAGUAUGGUGGGCCACAAGAUUGUCCCUUUCCACUAGGGGCUGACAGAUGAUAUUAAGAGUGUGAAUGUGUGUGUGGUGUUAACGUGCUGGAGUGUGCACAGCCAGGAGUGUUUGGGGAAUGAAAAUAAAAGGAGUUAUGGAUGUUUAAAAAUGCAUCUUUUGAGAGCUAAGUAUACAAGAAAGUUGGUGUGUUUGGGGAAUGAGUAAACAAUGAAGAAAUGUUUUGAGGAACUGGGUGUGCAGAGGCAGGAGUGUUUGGAGAAUGAGAAUACAGGAAGACAGGAAUGAUUUGGGAAUAAGUGUACAAGAAAGGAGUGUUUGAGUGACAAUAUAUAAGGAAGAGGUGUUUUGAAAAUGAGAGUACAAGGAAUGAGCAUUUUGGGAGUUAAUAUACAAGGAAGCAAGUAUUUAAGGGACAAGUAUACAAGAUUAUUUUCCUGUCAUAUGUCAUUAUACAAUGUUUUUCUUUGUUAUAUACAUCAUUCCCUUUCACUUUUCAUAUCUUGUGUUCUCGUCAUUCUGAUGUAAUGUUACAGAUAGAGAAUGUUUGGUGUCAAAUUUUCACUAAUUUCAUAUGUGUAUAAACUUUCAUUUCAUUGACUUUUUUUUACUAUUACUACUAUAUUUGCUUGCUUUUUAAACAAGUCUUUUCUUUCAGAGGAGGGGAAGCACAGGGGAAGAGGAGGACGAGGAGGAAGAGAGUUAAGAGUCACAAGAGGAGGAGGGAAGGUGGAAAGAAAGAGGAAGGAGAGGAGGAGGAGGAGGAGGAGGAGGAGGAGAGGAAGAUGGAGAAGGAAAGGAGAAAGAUAAGAAGGAAGGAAAUGCCGCAGAAGGAGAAGAGCAAUAAGAAAUUAGAAUUGACAGAGAAACCAGACAAGGGACUGCAUUUGAAGAAGCACAAGAACCAAGAAAUUACAUCAUUCAAUGAAAUGACAACAUAAUCUAAAAUAGAAAUAAAAAACAUCACAAGACAGAAUAGUGAGCUGCAUGCACCUUAUCACAGAGUAUAAAGUCACUCCCUCAGAGGAAAAAGACAAGGAUGGCACGUCUUCAUGUGAGAACUCAGAAGCUAAAUGUACAGAUACCAAGGGGAAAUUGCUGGGUCAAGUGGCUACACUGACAUCUGAGGUUAGCAGGUUGGAGAGUGAGUGCAGCAGUCUUCAGGUUCAGCUAGACUGUGAGAGGGAUAAGUAUAACAAACUGCUGGGAGAAUCUCUUGCUCAUGAAAAGUUGUCUGAAGAUGUCAUAACUGAACCAAAAGGAGAAACAACAGGAUUGGGAGGAACUGAGCUUUAACAGAAGCUGCAACAACUGCAGGAGGCUCACAGGGUCCUGGAGAGCAGGUUAACUUGCAGCAUGAAGGAGGUGGCUGAGCUGAGUGACAGGAAGUAGCAGCUUGAGCAUGCUGUAGUGCAUG